rnacentral:rRNA from 1 species
UACGUAGGGGGCAAGCGUUGUCCGGAUUUAUUGGGCGUAAAGAGCGUGUAGGCGGCCAGACAAGUCUGCUGUGAAAACUCGAGGCUCAACCUCGAGCUGUCGGUGGAAACUGUCUGGCUAGAGUCCGGAAGAGGAGAGUGGAAUUCCUGGUGUAGCGGUGAAAUGCGCAGAUAUCAGGAAGAACACCUAUGGCGAAGGCAGCUCUCUGGGACGGUACUGACGCUGAGAAGCGAAAGCAUGGGGAGCGAACAGG